rnacentral:lncRNA from 1 species
AGAGAUACUUAGAAAAAAUGACCUUCAUUGACAAAUGUUCAAUCUGCCAGCAUUCCAAGUGGCAGUGCGAGCUUGCAAAGCUGUAGAGCCAGAAUCAGCCUCAAAGACUCUCCAUGCCUGUCUGAGACCACUGGUGUGAAUUUCUCUGAUCCUCAUGAAGCCCCUCUGGGAACUAGACUCUUUCCAUUCUUUCAGAGCAACAGGAAGGGAGCGCCUAACAAUGGCACAUCAGAGUGGCAUCUCUGUUGUCAAUGUCAUAUUUGGAACCUAACAUCUUUCAGAGAAGCCAGCCAGCCUGGUGCCUGGGGAAGGAUGGUAACCCAGCCAGGGAGAGAAAUUAAAUGGUUCUGAAUUCCUCCACCAGUGACUCCCUCCAGGCAUAAGUAGACUGUUUCUAGACCCUUGAGAAGCAGGCUUGGCAUAACUUUAGCUCUCCAUGUGCCCUUUCCUAAGAUCCUUUCCUUUUUUUUUUAACAGCUGCACUUGCAGUACAUGGAAGUUCCUGUGUCAGGGGUCAAAUCAGAGCUUCAGCUGCAGCAUAUGCCAUAGCCAUGGCCACACCAGAUCAGAGCCCCAUCUGCAAUCUACAACAUAGCUUGCAGCAAUGCCAGAUCCUUAACCCACUGAGCAAGGCCAAGGAUCGACUCCCACAUUCUCAAAGAGACAAUGUCAGGUCUUAACCCACUGGGCUACAACAGAAACUCCUCCUGAGAUCCUUUCUUAGCACCAUUCCCCCUACCCUGUCUCUGAUCCUCAGCCCUAAGUUGGGGGUUGGAGCCAGGCAAGCAGCCAACAGUCCCCUUCCCAAUCCCCAACUCCUCAACAGAACCCUCAUCCCCUCAAGGUUUGGUUCAAGGUGAUCACUUGCUGUUCUAAUGAUCCACCAAUAACAACAGUCUGACAGUCUGAUGGGAGGAGACAGCUUUCCUCCCCAGCCCCAGCCCUCUGCCCCAGUGUGAUCAGCAUUUGAGCAUUUUCUUGCAAUCCCUGCACUGUCUCAACAAAGGGCGCUGUUCUGAAGUUUAGUCCAAUGGCAGAAGCUUCAGUCACUUCAGUUACCCUAUAAAGGGCAUUUUUAAAAAGUUAAGACUGAAAUUAAAACAAUAAACUUUACUGACCCUGUAGCCCACUUCUAAACCAAUUCAAUUCAAUAAAAGAAUAUAAUCCAAUAGGCCCACCAUGCCUGUGAUUAGGGUCAGCACAGAAUGAGAGUGUCCUACCCACAUUAUACACAUCUCUGAAGGGCUGGGAGACCAUGUGUCUUGUUUGCCUGACAAGUUCCUGUUGUCCAGGUGGGACUUGAUGGCACCCCCUUCUACCCUCAUAUUCUCCCAGUUCACACAAUUAUCUUUAUGGCCAUUCUACUAAAGAGCCAACAGUUCUGGGAUCCUCAGGGCUUUUCUCUAUCCUUUGCUCUUUUACUUCUAUCCCAAAACAUCUUGAGAGGGUCUCAUUCUGACACUGCCAUUUGUCCCCAUUAAUAAUCUCCCAGCACCCUGGAUUCUGCCAGCCCUCAAGGUACCAAGGAGUGCCGUGUCCCUGGGGUCCUCCAUGUGCCAAAGUCACACCGCAUUCCUUGAAAAAGUGAAAAAAGUCUCUCUCCCUCUCCCUCUCUGCACACUGCAUCUCUUGGGCCCCAGAGCAGCCAUAUCUGUGAGCUGAGCCCCCCAGAGUCUCUGACAACGGAACCUGCAGCCCUUCUCUAUUAGGAGCCUCGAAUUUGCCUCCUUGGAGUGAACCAGGGUUUGCAAUACAUCUCAACCAACUCUGCCUCUCCCCCACCUCCUGUUACCCCCUGCCCAGGCUCCUGCCCCACUAGCAUACCAGCAUGAAUACCUCCUGAUAUAGACUGAAUUGUCACACACACAAACACACACACACACACACAAAUUGAAGCUCUAACCCAUUGGUACCUGUGACUUGUGGCUUUAUUUGGAAAUAGGAUCCUUGCAGAUGCAAUCCUUUUAGGAUAUGGUCAUUAGGAUGGGGUCUAGUCCAAUACGACUGGUCUCCUUAUAAGAAGAGGAAAACACCAUGCGGAGACAGAGACACACAGGGAGGACGCCAUGUGACGACAGAGCAGAGACUGCAGCGAUGUGGCUAGAAGCCAUGGAAUGUCAAGGUCUGAGGGCCGGCACCAGGAGCAAGGAAGAGGCAAGGAAGGAUUCUACCCGGAGACUCAGAGGGACCGAGGCUGCUGACACCUCAGUUUCGAACUUCCUGCCUCUAAACCUAUGAAAUAAUAAAUUUCUGUUGUUUAAAGUCACCAACGUUAUGGUAAUUUGUUACAACAACCCUAGGAGACUACAAUACCCACUUCAGCGGAAGCCAGGGCCCCCACCACACCUGUUUUGAGACUGUAUAAAUGCACCCUCAUCUCCUUAUGCUUCAUUUCCCUAACCUUGCAUUUGCUCACCACAGAAAGUUAAGGGGCAAAGCAGAAAAGCUUGCUCAUUCUAAGGAAGGGGAGGAGGCCAGGAGACAGACUCAUUUUCUGUGAUUUUUUCAAAAUCCACCAACAAAUUGAUGUUCAGCAGCCUCCUUAUUCUAGGAGAUAAAAAGGCUUCCAUCCUCUGUUGCAAGAUAAAUGACACUCAGGACACCAGUGAGUUUAGGUAAAGGGGUGGGGUGGGGCGGGAAGAGAUGUGGAGAGGGAAUUGCCCCUUCCGACACCUCUGCAGUGAGGCACUCAAAUAUCAUCUUGAUAUGGAAUCCAGAUCAGCUGGGAGGUCUCAUCCUUCUCCCGACGUGUUUGCAGAGAAACACACAUCUUCCUUUCCACGCCGAGGUCACCGGCAGGGUGCUCUGGCAGAGCCGUGUGGAGAACGUGUACAGCACCUGCCUGCAUAUGUUUGGCCCAGUGCCCUCUUCUUGCUUCCCCUCUGAUCAGAAGCACAUUUAUCUGCAACGUUUUUUAAGUCAGAAAAAUAAAGCAUCUCUCCAGACUGUUUUGAUUUUUUAAAACUCAUUCCAGCCCAUGCACACUAGUUUGGCUGACUUUCGAUUAUGACAUCCUAUUGCAUUUAUUUUGAUUUGGUAGAACACAAAGAGAAAUCACCUAAGAAUACCUAUUGCUACAAGAAGGAGCUCUUCUCUCAUUUCUCCUCACUACCUUUUCUUUGCAGCUUUUUCCUUUCCUCUCUCAGGUUCAGCCAUUCCCCUAAUCUGAUUAUUCUCCCUCCCUGAUUCACUCAAUUUUUGCCUUUUCCUCCCCACCUCUCAUCCUGCCAUAACAACCACAAUAGCCAGCCCAAGGCAAAUCAUGAAGUAAGAAGACAUGUUCCUCAAACAUUUUAUGCACCAUUUCUCCCCUCAGCUCAACACUGCCGAGUAUCCAUUGGUACUGGGUAUCUUUCUGUGUCUUGGUUUCCCUAUUUAUACCAAAAGACUUGUUCUUUUCAUUUUUAAACUAAAGAAAAUAAUGCCAUCUUUGAGGGAGUUGUUGCAAGGAUUAAAAUGUACAAGAGUCUAAAAGUGUGGAUACUCCAUAAGUUUUACCAGCCUCCUGUGUCCCAGCCUUCCUCAGGCUCUGCUUCCUCCCUAUUCUCCAUCCCAGGUCCUGAUACUGGCCACUGAGCUAUAGUGCAAAGGUGGAAUCUAAAAUAUGGCACACACGGAGUUCCUGAUGUGGCUCAGUAGUAACAAACCCAGCUAGCAUCCAUGAGGACGCGGGUCCAAUCCCUCACCUUGCUCAAUGGGUUAUGGAUUCAGCGUUGCUGUGAGCUGUGGUGGGGGUCGUAGGCUCGGCCUGGAUCCUGAUANUGUGGCUGUGGUGUAGGCUGGCAACUGCAGCUCUGAUUUGACUCCUAGCCUGGGAGCUUCCACAUGCCAUGGACGCGGCCCUAAAUAAAUAAAUAAUAAAGCAAUGUACAUACCUUAGUUUAAAAAAUAAAAUAACAUAAAAUAAAAUAUGGCACACAUGAACCUAUCUACAAAACAGAGAAAGACAAACAUAGAGAACACACUUGUGGUCAAGGAGGCGGGUAGACGGAGUAGGAUAGACUGGGAAUUUGGAGUUAGUAGAUGCAAACUAUUACAUUUAGAAUGGAUAGAUGAAAAGAUCCUACUGUAUGGUGCAGGGAACUAUAUCCAACCUCCUAGGAUAGACCACGAUGGAAAAUAGUAUUUUAAAGAAAGAGUGUGUGUGUGUGUGUGUGUGUGGUGUGUGUGUGUGUAUGACUGAGUCACUGUGCUAUACAGCAGAAAUUUGCAAAACACUGUAAACCAAUUAUAAGUUAAAUUUUUUUUUAAAUAAAUCCAAAAAGAGUUUGUUUCCUUACUUUCAAUUGAUGAAGAAGUUGGUCAAGAUAUCUUAGCCUUGGGGAGAAGGAUCAGAAAAAGUGAGGUACCUCUUCUGCCCAGGGAAAAUGCCAGCCCAGAUGACUCCACUACAUCAUUCUCUAUCCUGCUUCCUUCAGGUUGAAUUGCCUUCUUAUGAAAGAGAGAGAAAAGAGACAGAAAAACAAAGAUAGGCGCACAGAAGAUUACAGUCCAGUUGUCCAUAAGUCUACUAGCUACUCUGACCUUGUUCCCUGCACCCCAUCCCUAGAACACAGAGGUUAAAGACGUGCUUCUCUGCUGACUUCACUCAAACACAUCCUAAGUUAAGCUCCAGAAAGAAAUAGGUGAGAACUUCUGGUCAAGUUCAAUCCUCCCUACUGGAGGAAUAAAGGAUUCCAUAAAUGUUUUAACUCAAUAGUUACCAAAGCUUCUCUGCUUUGAACAGACAGACCUGUGUACCCCAGAUAUCAUCUGAGGCUGUCCCAACCCUCAAGAGCCUUUACUGAUUUAUUUUUUAUUGAUUGAUGGAUUUGAUUGUUAUUGGCUGAUUGAUUGAUUGAUUGACCUGGGCAAUCAAUUUCAUAGCCUGUGACAGUUCAGCCCCUCCCAUGGGUUCCAAAACUCCCUUAGGGUUGGUUUUCAUGAGGUCUCUUCCAAUUCAAUUCAAUUUCUACACCCUCAGUGUUGAGAAAAUUGUCUCUGUUUCACUCCACACUAGCUCAGUCAGAAACUAAGCCUCUUCUCCGGUUUACACAAAGAAAUCUGUUUGUGCAAAAUGGUGUCCAAGUUAAGCGACGUCAGUGGUCGAUGGGAGGGCCCCAUCAUGUACUGCAUAGCACCCCACCAUCCCACAGCCUUUUCCCUCCUUCCUCUCCAACUUCUCAGCAGCCCACAGAUUUCUCUUUCGGUCUCACCCAGAGGAGCUCCACUCUCUUCUCUCAAGCUUGACACCAGCCAAUGCCAGGGUCCCCAAAGAGUGAACCUCUGCCCAAGAGAAAUGACUGCUGAGAACUGCUAGGAAAACAAGUGUCUUCUAAUCACGGGCACGGGACAGUUCAGCAGAGGAGACUUUGUGUAAGGAAAGAGGAAAAUCAAGAGCUUUAGCAGCCAGAGCUGAAAGCCAUGCAUUCGUCACAUACGCCGGCCCAGAGUGUGACAGGAAUUCAGUGGAGAAAACGUACCCCAAGACUGGGAAAGAGAAAGGCAGAAAGGAAAGCUGUGAUCCAGUGACUAUUAAAGGCUGGCUCAGAGAAUUCAAGCAAGACAUCAGCCACCUCUCUGCUCUGUUUCCUUAUCUGCAAAAUGUUAUACCCAGGACUGAUGGAGUCCUCAUUCUUACUUCCUCGAUAAAGAUACCAAGGAUGAAACAAACUAAAUAACUCUCCAAAGCAGAGGUAUUUUAUGAUACGUGUUUGGUUAUUUUGAAAGGGACAUCAGCUUUUUUAACCACACUAGAGCACUAACUGAGGUAUCAAAUAGAACACCAGAGUGAAUGUCAGGGUAAUUUGGCUGGAUCACUGGUCAUCCUAGUGGUGUCCAAACGUACUCAGCUGGUCAAGCUGGCUUCACAUGGGAAGGAAUGAUGGACAUCUCUGCAGGUAGAAGAGAGCAGUUCCUGGAGUUCCCAUUGUGGCUAAGGAGGUUACGAACCCAACUAGUAUCCAUAAGGACUAGGGUUUGAUCCCUGGCCUUGCUCAGUGGGUUAAGGAUCCAGCAUUGCUGUGAGCUGUGGUGUCGGUCGCAGACACGGCUCAGAUCUAGUGUUGCUGUGGCUGUGGUGUAAGCCAGUGGCUGCAGCUCUAACUUAACCCCUAGCCCAGGAACUUCCAUAUGCUAUGGGUGCAGCCCUAAAAAGAAAAAAAAAAAAAA